rnacentral:rRNA from 1 species
AUACCGUAUAACACUAUUUUCCGCAUGGAAGAAAGUUGAAAGGCGCUUUUGCGUCACUGAUGGAUGGACCCGCGGUGCAUUAGCUAGUUGGUGAGGUAACGGCUCACCAAGGCAACGAUGCAUAGCCGACCUGAGAGGGUGAUCGGCCACACUGGGACUGAGACACGGCCCAGACUCCUACGGGAGGCAGCAGUAGGGAAUCUUCGGCAAUGGACGAAAGUCUGACCGAGCAACGCCGCGUGAGUGAAGAAGGUUUUCGGAUCGUAAAACUCUGUUGUUAGAGAAGAACAAGGAUGAGAGUAAAAUGUUCAUCCCUUGACGGUAUCUAACCAGAAAGCCACGGCUAACUACGUGCCAGCAGCCGCGGUAAUACGUAGGUGGCAAGCGUUGUCCGGAUUUAUUGGGCGUAAAGCGAGCGCAGGCGGUUUCUUAAGUCUGAUGUGAAAGCCCCCGGCUCAACCGGGGAGGGUCAUUGGAAACUGGGAGACUUGAGUGCAGAAGAGGAGAGUGGAAUUCCAUGUGUAGCGGUGAAAUGCGUAGAUAUAUGGAGGAACACCAGUGGCGAAGGCGGCUCUCUGGUCUGUAACUGACGCUGAGGCUCGAAAGC